UAAUCACUCGUCAUAUGACAAGCCACAUGAUAAAAACAGGAUAUGAGCUUGUUUUCGGCGCUUAUUUGAAACUCUAGCAGAAAACCGCUUUAUAGUUUUUGCGGUUUUGAUAAAGGGAAGGGGUCGAUUUUUGUUCAAUUUCUAUUUCUAAGACAGUUGGAAAAGUGUCGUCUGCUCUUGUAUUCUUGAAAAAUGACGGACAGUUUGUGUUUGACAGUGACAAAAGACGAAGUUUAAGAUAAGAAGCAAAAUGGAAUCAUGUUAUUCGAAAUUCACCUGAAGGACGACAGAUCUUUGGCAGAAACGGAAGGAACCAAUUGACGGGCAGCUGUUUCGAAAUCUACAGUACCUAACAUUCGAUCUCCUUCGGAUAUCGUAUGACCUGAAAUAAGGGCAGAAUAGAUUUGGAGUUGAGUUGGAUAUUUCUUUCCACGCUUUUAAGCAUGGCGUUGGAACAAAGGGAAUAUAAAUCGGCACCGGUUAAAUAUUUCGGAAGCUGCUGAACGAAAUCUUCAAGAUUUACUAAUGGAUGUAACUGAAUCCUUUGUUUCGAUGAAGUGUUUCAAUUAUUAAAAUAUUUAAAAUUUUAA